GAUUUGAACGCAGGUCGAUUGUUUAUGCUUCUUGUUUAGAGGGCUCUGACCCAGUACGCUUAUUUGAAAAGCGAAUGAACGUCCGUCGAGAAGCCGGGUAUGAAUUUGACAGGGCAUCAUUACUUGGAUAUAAUCCCAUGAGCUUCGGAGGACCCCCUGUCACUGUUGAAACCGUCGAGGAAGCAGAUGAGCUCCUGCGCAAUGAUGAAAAGGAAUCUGCAAUUGAAGCAGAAGUUCUUGCAGCUCCUCCAAAAUUGAUUUACAAGGAAACUUUUGGUUGCACUCAUGGAUAAAUGGGACAGUCAUGUGCUUGUUAUUGACAACGUUGCCCCUCCAAUUUGGAAGGAUGAGCCAGCAGGGAGAAUGUUGGAGCUUUGCAUCCUCCACCUGGCAAUGUCAGAAAUAACAGUGCUGGAAACAAGACACCCAAUUGUCAUUAACGAGGCCGUCGAUCUUGCUAAAUGGUUCUGUGAUGGAUCAGCACCCCGUAUUAUCAAAGGUUGUCUGAGAACAUUAGUGAAACAAAUUGAAGAAGCUGGUGGUCUAACUCCGGCCUUGGGGUAUAAACAGAAAGUGGUCACUCGAUGAAUGAACUUGUCUUGUUUGCACGUUUUGUCGUAUUGUGAGUGGAAAUUUUGACAGUUGUUGGUAGGGUGAAGAAGAGUGUCAGUUUAGGAGUAAUGGCUUUAAUUUGUCGGUGUUGGAAAACAUUGAAGGGGGAUUCUUGAAUGAGAAAUGGAAGCCAUAGAGAGAUGGGCAAACCAGUGUUAUAGUAGCUGUACUGAAAAUGUAAGAGUUAUUAAUAGUAUGUAUAUGAUAAAUGGUGUAAUAUUAUUUUAGGAUGAUGUCAUAAGUGGGCUAGUUAAAAUGUUUCGUCAUGUAAUGUCAUCUAUUUUCUUCUUUGUUUC